GUAGGUGGCAAGCGUUGUCCGGAAUUAUUGGGCGUAAAGCGCGCGCAGGCGGUUCUUUAAGUCUGAUGUGAAAGCCCACGGCUCAACCGUGGAGGGUCAUUGGAAACUGGAGAACUUGAGUACAGAAGAGGAAAGCGGAAUUCCACGUGUAGCGGCGAAAUGCGUAGAGAUGUGGAGGAACACCAGUGGCGAAGGCGGCUUUCUGGUCUGUAACUGACGCUGAGGCGCGAAAGCGUGGGGAGCAAACAGGAUUAGAUACCCUGGUAGUCCACGCCGUAAACGAUGAGUGCUAAGUGUUAGGGGGUUUCCGCCCCCUUAGUGCUGCAGCUAACGCAUUAAGCACUCCGCCCUGGGAGUACGGCCGCAAGGCUG
rnacentral:rRNA from 1 species